rnacentral:rRNA from 1 species
GACGAAGGAUGCAAGCGUUAUCCGGAUUCAUUGGGUUUAAAGGGAGCGUAGGCGGAUUUGUAAGUCAGUGGUGAAAUCUCCGGGCUUAACUCGGAAACUGCCAUUGAUACUAUCUGUCUUGAAUACCGUGGAGGUCAGCGGAAUAUGUCAUGGUAGCGGUGAAAUGCUUAGAUAUGACAUAGAACACCAAAUUGCGAAGGCAGCUGGCUACACGAAUAUUGACACUGAUGCACGAAAGCGUGGGGAUCAA